rnacentral:rRNA from 1 species
CCUACGGGUGACAGCAGUGGGGAAUAUUGCACAAUGGGGGAAACCCUGAUGCAGCGACGCCGCGUGAAGGAAGAAGUUUUUCGGUAUGUAAACUUCUAUCAGUAGGGAAGAAAAAGAUGGCACUUGACUAAGAAGCCGCGGCAAACAACGUCCCAGCAGCAGCGGCAAUACGGGGGGGGCAACCGUGAUCCGGAUUAACGGGGUGUAAAGGGAGGGUAGGCGGUUUAGCAAGUCAGAAGUGAAAGCCCGGGGCUCAACUCCGGGACUGCUUUUGAAACUGUUGGACUAGAUUGCAGGAGAGGUAAGUGGAAUUCCUAGUGUAGCGGUGGAAUGCGUAGAUAUUAGGAGGAACACCAGUGGCGAAGGCGACUUACUGGACUGUAAAUGACGCUGAGGCUCGAAAGCGUGGGGAGCAAACAGGAUUAGAUACCCUAGUAGUC